rfam:Amborella trichopoda AMTR_V1.0_contig_43307, whole genome shotgun sequence.
AGGAGCCGUAUGAGAUGGAAAUCUCACGUACGGUUCUGGAACGGAGAUCCUUUGAAUGGAAUGAAUGACCGUAAC